CACUUCCCUGAAGCUCGAAGUUGUUUUAGCUGCCUCUGUCCUCCCUGCAACUCAAAAACAGUUUGAAGAUUGUUUCUUCCUUUCAAUGACACUGGUUCAGUGUAUAAACUAUCAAUCCUGUACUUCUUCUUUGCUUUUGACUCUUCUAUCCAAAUUUAGUUAAAAUUUGGGUACUAUUUGUAACGAUCUCAUCUCCCCCUAGGGUGUACCUAAGAGUUUGGCAGACAACCUGCCUAACUCUCGUCAGGAUUCACUACAUUCACUACAACAAAUUUUCAAAAUAAUUGUUCACACCUCCAAAUUAACAUCAGAAUUCAACAAUUCAACCAAUAAUUCAAAUUUAAUUACAAUUCAAAAGUGAAAUAUAAGAUACACUAUCAAAGAUAAAAAAUACAAUAUGUCUACCAAAAGUACAUGUGCAAGAGGAUCAAUACACGUUAGUUCAAUCUUAUCUGCUCCGAACCUCAACUCUUGUAAGGAAAACAAACUAAUGGGAUGAACUUAUACCCAAUGAGGUUCCAAACAAGCAUUCAAACAAAAUACCAGUCAAAUCACAAAAAUAUUGCAUUUAAUAAUUUAACACACUUUGUACAAUAAUAAAUAGUAAUAAAUAGUCUCAAGCCAUUUAAGAAGCAAUCAUUCAAUCAUUUAAAAGAUACGAGCUCACUUGGAACUAUUCAUGCAUUCAAUUAUUCAGUCUCCUUCCAUUUCUUCCUUAUAACUUCUGAUAUUUGAAAACAAAAAUCCCAACAUUGAUCAUUUCAUUCAGUCAUUCAGUUAGUCAUUUAGUUAUUCAUUCAUUGCAAUUCAUUCACUAACUCGUACUCCACUUGACUUCAUGGUUAUAUUCGAGUAUACCAAAACAGUGGUUAGGGUUACUAACCUACCUGAUCGAUUCCGCUUCUAACUCGAAUAGGCAAGUGAUGAAGGGCAAAGGCCCAAUUCGACCAAUGACUUACAUUCAUGCACAAGUAACAUUCAAUCAUGUAAUCAUUGAAAAUUCAUAUUUACUUAAGUUGAGUGCGGUAAAGUACACACUCGCAUGUCAAUAGUAAAGUGAUUUUUGAAAUACAUUUAAUAGUCAAAUAAUAACCAUACAAUCAAGGCAUUCAAUUCAUAAACACAAGGAACACUCACCACUUGAUCUCAAUGUUUCCACUUCAAACCCUGAUUUGUCUUUUCAAGUCCUGUAGUCAUAUAAACUGUCAAGAGUCUAUCCAUUUAAAACCAAGAUAAAUGAGAAAAUAUGAGUUUGAAGUUUCACUUAAUAAACACAAAAUUAUAGGUUUAACCCUAAUAUAACUUCUGAAAGAGCCAUAAUUUCUUAUUCAAAUCAAGUUCAAAGCAAGAAAAAAUCACAUGUCUAUAGAUCCAUGUUUCAAGUAUAAUAUGGAGCAAAAACAUGUCGAUUAUAGCCAAGAAUUUGAAGACAACAGGACAAGGUUUUCGAGACACAAAACUGAAAAUUUCGAGCAAGAAAAACAUGUUGGAGAAAACUCAUUUUCCUUCUCUUGUCCUCUUUGUUUUGACUCAAAUCCAACAUACAGGUGAAGAUUUAGGUUUAAUAAAGUAUCUUGAGCACAACCUUGCCAAAAUCACCACAAAAUUCUGGAAAUCAAAAUUGGAAAUGGCCAUUUUCUAGCCAGUCAACUCUAAUAAAAAUUAUAGCUUUCCAACAAAAAUUCUAACUAUCAACCUUAUUUUCUUGGCGAAGUUACUAUCAAUCAAGAUAUCAUGUUAUGACAUAUAUGAACCAUCUUCUUAAUAAACAAACCCAUCAAAAUUUCACAUAUUCAAAAUUCUAAAUUAAACUAACUAGAUUGUGCACCAAAUUUGGAAAUUGCACAUAAUUUUGACAAAUCAUGAAAUCUUUUAUAAAAUCAUGCCUUUUAUCUUAUAGAGUAUCAUCCAUCAAAUAGACAAGUGAAGAAAAAUAAGUUUGCUAUUAACUUUACCUCUUAAAUCCCACAAAACAAAUUUGGAAAUCCACAACAUAAUCUGAAAAUCAUGAAAUCCACUAUACAAGUCCUUCAUUUAACUUCUAUAACAUCAUAUAUCAAAUAAAUUCAAAGAUAAGAGAAGAUUUCUAACAAAAUUCACCUCUUUAACUCCAAAACCUUAGAUAGACAGUCAAGCAAGGAGUACCCAAGGGUUUCUUCUUUUAAAACUUCUCCAAUAGCUUCCUUCCAAGUUUGAUUCAAAAUUUGUCGGAGUAGACUAGGAUUUUCUCUUGUUUUCUCUCACUAAUCAAGCAAGAAAUCAAUACUUGAAUUUAGAGUUGAUUUUUCCCACUUUUCCCUUCAAGAAUUUCGGCCAAGACAAGAUAAAGAAGGAAGAAAGAGUGAAGAAAAAAAAGCUUAUCUUGAUCAAGGUCUUGGUCAAGUUUGGUUGGUUA
rnacentral:lncRNA from 1 species